CAGCCGCCGCGGGAAUACGUAGGUGGCAAGCGUUGUCCGGAAUUAUUGGGCGUAAAGGGCUCGCAGGCGGUUUCUUAAGUCUGAUGUGGAAGCCCCCGGCUCAACCGGGGAGGGUCAUUGGAAACUGGGAAACUUGAGUGCAGAAGAGGAGAGUGGAAUUCCACGUGUAGCGGUGAAAUGCGCAGAGAUGUGGAGGAACACCAGUGGCGAAGGCGACUCUCUGGUCUGUAACUGACGCUGAGGAGCGAAAGCGUGGGGAGCGAACAGGAUUAGAUACCCCCGUAGUCCCUGUCUCUUAUAC
rnacentral:rRNA from 1 species